rnacentral:rRNA from 1 species
AACAAACGCUGGCGGCGUGCCUAAUACAUGCAAGUCGAACGAGAAAGUACCUUCGGGUGCGAGUAAAGUGGCGCACGGGUGAGGAAUAUAUAGGUAACUUGCCCUCUGGCGGGGAACAACCUGGGGAAACUCAGGCUAAUACCGCAUAAGACCACAGUUUCUGCGGAAACCGGGGUUAAAGAUUUAUCACCAGAGGAUAGGCCUAUAUCUGAUUAGCUUGAUGGUGGGGUAAUGGCCUACCAUAGCGACGAUCAGUAGCUGGUCUGAGAGGAUGAUCAGCCACACUGGAACUGAGACACGGUCCAG